UCCCUGGUAGUCUAGUGGUUAGGACUUGGUGCUUUUACCGCUGUGUCCCAGGUUCAAGCUCUAGUUUGGGAA
rnacentral:tRNA from 1 species